rnacentral:rRNA from 1 species
GAUGAACGCUGGCGGCGUGCCUAAUACAUGCAAGUCGAGCGAACGGACGAGAAGCUUGCUUCUCUGAUGUUAGCGGCGGACGGGUGAGUAACACGUGGAUAACCUACCUAUAAGACUGGGAUAACUUCGGGAAACCGGAGCUAAUACCGGAUAAUAUUUUGAACCGCAUGGUUCAAUAGUGAAAGACGGUUUUGCUGUCACUUAUAGAUGGAUCCGCGCUGCAUUAGCUAGUUGGUAAGGUAACGGCUUACCAAGGCAACGAUGCAUAGCCGACCUGAGAGGGUGAUCGGCCACACUGGAACUGAGACACGGUCCAGACUCCUACGGGAGGCAGCAGUAGGGAAUCUUCCGCAAUGGGCGAAAGCCUGACGGAGCAACGCCGCGUGAGUGAUGAAGGUCUUCGGAUCGUAAAACUCUGUUAUUAGGGAAGAACAAAUGUGUAAGUAACUAUGCACGUCUUGACGGUACCUAAUCAGAAAGCCACGGCUAACUACGUG